rnacentral:rRNA from 1 species
AGUGAACGCUGGCGGUAGGCCUAACACAUGCAAGUCGAACGGCAGCACAGUAAGAGCUUGUUCUUACGGGUGGCGAGUGGCGGACGGGUGAGGAAUACAUCGGAAUCUACUUUUUCGUGGGGGAUAACGUUGGGAAACUUACGCUAAUACCGCAUACGACCUACGGGUGAAAGCAGGGGAUCUUCGGACCUUGCGCGAUUGAAUGAGCCGAUGUCGGAUUAGCUAGUUGGCGGGGUAAAGGCCCACCAAGGCGACGAUCCGUAGCUGGUCUGAGAGGAUGAUCAGCCACACUGGAACUGAGACACGGUCCAGACUCCUACGGGAGGCAGCAGUGGGGAAUAUUGGACAAUGGGCGCAAGCCUGAUCCAGCCAUACCGCGUGGGUGAAGAAGGCCUUCGGGUUGUAAAGCCCUUUUGUUGGGAAAGAAAAGCAGCAGGUUAAUACCCCGCUGUUCUGACGGUACCCAAAGAAUAAGCACCGGCUAACUUCGUG